CAUUAAGAAGCUAAAAUGGGCCUAGCAUUAGCCUUUUAAGCUAAAAAUUGGUGAUUCCCAACCACCCUUAAUGAUAA
rnacentral:tRNA from 1 species